CAGUGAGCGAUCGUGUUUAUGGAUGCACCCAACGUGUUCGCUGCCUCACCGUCGCGCAUGCGCCAAAAACCCGGCCCGUCCAACACACUGGUUGGCAACAUUGUACGUGACAUACGUUUGCAUAUGUGAACGGAGUAUUGUAGAGCACGAAACUUUCCUUGUCAUCAAAUCAAAUAUAUGCCAAAUGAUUCAAAUGACCAGGCUGGAAAUCAACGUCAAGCGACUUUUAACACGCUGCGAAUUAAUAGCGAAGGAUGAUCCACACAAAGAUUGGAAGCUCGAAAAAUAUAUACUUUCUCUAGAUGACAUGGUGAACAAACUACAGAUUUCACCGAAUAAACCAUCUAAGGACACCAUGAUGGGCUACAUUAAGCGGAUAAAUUUUUUAAAAGGAGUCAUAAAUGCAAUGAAGUUGUCAAAUCCAGUGGAGAGAGUGGUUGCCGCACAAUUGUUAUCAAAAAAUUCAAUGUCCACUAACAAUUCCGCCAGUACAAAUAUUACAACGCAAAUACAUCAGAAGACUGUCGCUAAAUACAAUCGGGAAUUACGGGAGGAAUUAUUUCAUAGCAAUAGAGAAGCAAAUAAGGAUGGUGUACGACAGAGAUUAUCGAGCUCUAAUAUCAAAGAUGAAGAUCUAGAUGCUAUUUUGAAGUAUAAUCGUAAUAUUCAGGAGAAGAUCGCUGAGAAUAUGCUCUCCAUGACCAGCACUAUGAAGGAACACGCAUUAGCAGCUAGUGCUAUCAUAAAAAAGGAUAUUGGCAUGCUGGAAAUGUCUGAUAAAUUGACUGAUGUAAAUGCUAUUAAUUUAAAGAAGGAAUCCCUGAAAUUAGAAGAGCAUACUAACUCAAAAUGGAGGUGCUGGGUGUGGCUUAUGAUAGCUUUCGUUCUGUUUGUAUUUUUUAACAUGGUGUUAUUUAUGAAAGUAGCAAGGAAAAAGAUUUAGGUAAUUUUCUAUAUUGAGAUGUAUCAAUCGCGAAAUAGACGUGUUACAGUGCAUUUGACUAUGUGAGUCAUUGGACUGAUAUUAUGAUGAUAGAAUUGUAUAGCCAUAAGGGCUUGUAAAUACACCUGUGCCACUUAAAAAUCUGGAAUAUAUGCAUAUCUACUGAAUAUCCACAUGGAGGGAUAGUCGGCACGCUUCUAUCCUACGGAUGUAAUACAUCCACUUUCAACGAUACGAUUUUAUCGACAGUGUCAGCAAAUGGAUGUACUGGCGGUAAUGUACGAGUGAUUUCGACGGGAAAGUAACAAGAAAAAGGCCGGUAGGGCCUCUCAGGUUUCUCUCUAGUUUGACGACAAUAACAUUUCUUAAAACGAUCGCUUUACGCCUGCAGUAUAUGCUUAGGCCAAUAUUACAAGCGUCCGUUUUUUUUGCCGUACGACAAAUUUUUUCAAACCUGUUGAUUGGCUAUAGGACAGAGGUCCGAGAUCCUCUCUGUCUUGCAGCCAAUUAACACGCUUAAAAAAUUCGUCGUACGACAAAAACGGACGCAUGUAAUAUUGGUUUUAAAAGAUGUGUCAUAAGAAGUAGAUUAAAAGGUAUUAAAGAAUUGGAAUCAAGA